CGGCAACUUCGAGGACGCGCCGGCGAGAUCGCAGCUCAACGGCACGCAGGUACUGGGGCUCUACGCGAUCCCUCGCUGGGAAGUCUCCGGGUUCGUGGAGUACAUCGGGUCAGGCCAGAGGCAGGGGGACAUCAUCCAUUCAUCCUCCCGGUGCCGGAGGGAGCCUACGCCGUGCGGCUGGGGAACGAGGCCUCCAUCCGGCAGCGGCUGGCCGUGUCGCGGGGCGCGCGCUACUCCGUCGCCUUCAGCGCCGCGCGCACCUGCGCCCAGGCCGCUCAACGUGACGGUCGCCCCCGACUCCGACGUGCUCCCCAUCCAGACGGUGUACGCGAGCAGCGGCUGGGACUCCUACUCCUGGGCGUUCGAGGCUAGGCACGGCGCCGUGACGCUCAUCGUCCACAACCCCGGCGUCUCUGAAGACCCGGCCUGCGGCCCGCUCCUCGACUCGUUCGCCAUCAAGGCUCUCCGGCCGCCUCCUGUGCCCACCAAAAGUAAAAGACCCUGGCGCCAUAUUGUUGUCUUGGAACUUGGCCGACGAAAUAACUAGGCAUUCCUAUUUCGGAUGGUCGUCUCUCGUCUGAACCAUCUUUGAUCAUAUUGUUGGAAAGAUGGAAAAAAGGUUGGACCCAUGAAAAGAGCUGGAGCGUGCUACUCAAGACAAAGGAUCAGGCGAUGUUGGAAGAUAUACUGGACUCAGUGAAGAAGUGGUUACGGGAACAUCAUUCGGUUGAGGAAAAUUGCAGUGACAUUGGAGUGAUCUGAAGUGGAAGAUGUCCCUUCUUUUUGUCCCAGGCGUGGAGUUGGUGCUACUGAUAUGGAUGUCAUAUGAGGGUUCUUUUUUGUUUGUGCUGGGCUGGUUUCUAGCUUUGUUAGGUUGUUUAAUCGAGUGAAGCUUUCUAGUUGAUGAUAUUUGAACUUUGUCAGGUUGAUGCUAUCAAUGUGGAGCUUUGGUGACUCAGUCUUUAGUUUAGUAGAGGGGCUGUGUUUUUUUUUCUUGGUGGUCAUGGGGCGUCAGUGUGGAGCUUCUCUGAUUAACUGGUAUUCCCAGUUCAACGUUGUGGGGUGUGCUCUAUGUAGCUACCUUUGUUAUUGCUUUUCUUAAAAGCUGACUAAAAUCUCCUUUCAAAAAAAAUCCUGGCGCCACGUUCAGCUGUUCGUGUUGUUCGAAAGAAACGAAAAUGCUCAAAAAAAAAUGCAAUGAAUAUAUGUCCCUGCACUCUGCAGACAACAUGCUCCAGAACGGGGACUUCGAGGAGGGCCCGUACAUGUUCCCCGGCGUGCCGUGGGGGGGUGCUGGUGCUGUGCCGCCGGUGGACGAGGACGACUACUCGCCGCUGCCUCCGUGGAUGGUCCUGUCGGCGACCAAGUCCGUCAAGUACCUGGACGCGGCGCACCACGCCGUGCCACGCGGCGCGCACGCCGUGGAGCUGCUGUCCGGCACGGAGGCCGCGUUGGCGCAGGACGUCGCCACCGUGGCCGGACGUCCGUACAGGCUCGAGUUCUCCGCCGGGGACGGAUGCGUGGGCUCGCUGUCCGUGCGGGCCUACGCGGCGCGCGGCAGCGUGACGGUGCCGCACGCGUCGCGGGGCAAGGGCGGGCACAGGCGCGGCGUGCUCGACUUCACGGCGGUCGCGAAACCUGACGCGGGUGGCGUUCGUCAGUAUGGCCUUCACCAUGAAGAGCGACGGGACGCUCUGUGGCCCCGUCCUCGACGAUGUCUCGCUCGUCGGCUUGCGCAGCCAUGCUGCUCGCCGGCUGCUUCUUUGAUAGUACUGUACUAUUGAAGCGUUGUCGUGUUCAGUCAGACUUGAGAAUUUGCUUGAG